UGGGGUGUAGCUCAGUGGUAGAGCACUUGUCUUGUAUACAUGAGGUCCUGAAUUUGAUUCUCAGUGCUGAAA
rnacentral:tRNA from 1 species